UACGAAGGGUGCUAGCGUUGUUCGGAAUUACUGGGCGUAAAGCGCGCGUAGGCGGACUAUUAAGUCAGAUGUGAAAUCCCAAGGCUCAACCUUGGAACUGCAUUUGAAACUGGUAGUCUAGAGAUCAGGAGAGGUUGGCGGAAUACCGAGUGUAGAGGUGAAAUUCGUAGAUAUUCGGUGGAACACCAGUGGCGAAGGCG
rnacentral:rRNA from 1 species